rnacentral:rRNA from 1 species
GACGAACGCUGGCGGCGUGCUUAACACAUGCAAGUCGUACGGUAAGGCCCUUUCGGGGGUACACGAGUGGCGAACGGGUGAGUAACACGUGAGUAACCUGCCUACAACUUUGGGAUAACGCUAGGAAACUGGUGCUAAUACUGGAUAUGUGCUCCUGCUGCAUGGUGGGGGUUGGAAAGCUCCGGCGGUUGUGGAUGGACUCGCGGCCUAUCAGCUUGUUGGUGGGGUAGUGGCCUACCAAGGCGGCGACGGGUAGCCGGCCUGAGAGGGUGACCGGCCACAUUGGGACUGAGAUACGGCCCAGACGCCUACGGGAGGCAGCAGUGGGGAAUAUUGCACAAUGGGCGCAAGCCUGAUGCAGCAACGCCGCGUGCGGGAUGACGGCCUUCGGGUUGUAAACCGCUUUCAGCAGGGACGAAGCUUUUUGUGACGGUACCUGCAGAAGAAGCACCGGCUAACUACGUG